CGAGAAAUUUCUAGCGGCCUUUGC
rnacentral:rasiRNA from 1 species